AUAAUUAUAAUGCUUUAACUUCAGCUUUUUCUAGAUAUUAUCAUGGGGUUUUGAGCUUGAAGUUUUUUGCGCAGAUGGGCACUCAAGAUUCGAGGCCUGAUGGAAGGAAGAACAUACCUACACCGGGAUGAUCUUGCAAGGUUCCUUUCAGCAUAUAGCAAGCAAGGUAAGAAAGUGUACUUAACUGCUGCUCCUCGGUGCCCGUAUCCUGAUGCUUGGAGGGAAAUGAAUUAAAGACAAGUCUUUCGUUCUCAUUAAACUGGUCGGUCAGGAUUUUCACCCUCUUUUCUCCAACUCGUCUUUCCCUGCUCUAAAAAUGGAGAUUCGUCCGCUCAAUGUUCGCUCCGGAAGCUAGGAAGGGAAGGAGGAGGGGGUUUGAAAAGGGGCUGGCUGGAAAUUGAAUGAGGAAAGGAAGAAGACCGCUGUUAGGUUUGGUCAUCAGUUCUGAUCAGCAGUUUCUCCAUGGUUUUCGUUCAUCAGAUGGCUUUCUAAAUCAGGGAGAGAUGCAGGGUGAUCGAUUGCAUAGGGCUGCUAUCUUGGUUAGGAAGAGGAAGUGUGGUUUCUUGGGUUAUUCAAGGAUGUGCAAUUCUAUACUUCUGCUGCUUCAAAUGGUUAUGGCGCGUUGGAGAGGAUUUGUUUGGCCUCGGGCAUCCUAAGGGCUGAUCGUCUAGAUUACAAUCCCGGUGGUACUGCUGCAGUUCACCAGGUCAGGCCAUGCUCGAUUGAUUGGCCAUCCAAUCAUGAGUAUAGCUGUCCUUUUCAGCACAGUGGUAAGAUAAUGCAUCAUCUCUGUGGAGAAUUGUAGGAGAAGUAACCUGUUGUGCUACCAACGUGGCUGGAUAUGGAACCAUCUGGCAGUUCCAUCAGUGGAAUAAUGUGCCCAGAGUAGACUCUUUUUAAGGCAUCAAUAACUACACACUUUAAGUUGAGUGCCAAAAAUUUUACAGUUCCCAUGUUUGAGUUUGAAACUAUGGGGUGCAAAAUUUCCCUUGGAGGUUGGACCGCUCCUGCGUAUAUGAUGUUUACACCCUCAUCUUGGUCAGUUGAUAGAAUCUGAUUUGGAGGUCGGAUUUUGGGAUCUAACUUCAGUUCUAUUUCCGUCUAUUGCCGUGAAGAUGGAGCACCAUCUGUUGCAAUUAUGUUACUAGUCAAUGGCUUGAAUUGAAAUCUGGACUCGACAAAGUUAACAUCAUGCACUUAUCACACUGUUGCAGUUCCAAUUAUGGACUGGAAUCACAUUGCCAAACCGAAGUUCCGUUUAAAGAGUUGUGCCUCUUCCCUGUAACGCUUUUGCUGAGUUAUGAUGGGGCAGGAUUUUGACCCAAGGCCGAGAAGUAGAGCAGAAUGGGCCAGGCCUGUUAGACCAGCAAUCCUUCCGGGUGGUUACGCUCGUUCGUUCCUGACUAACCUUUGUAUGCCAAACUGGUGCAAUUAGGUGGUGCGUAAUCCUUUAUUAUCAAGUACCAAUAAGACAAUCUCCGCCACAGUAAUUCCAAUAGAGUUAAACAACGGACAUGACACCUUGUCAAGGUUAGCUUUAACCUUGCAGAGCCACCACUGGAUGUUUGGAUAAAGCUCCUACAAAUACCAAGUAUUGAUCAGUCAAACUGGACGCUGAUGGGUACGGUCCAAACCGACCUGGACGAGGAGGAUUGAAGGGCUCUCGUUAAGUAAUACCCAUUGACCUGGGACUUCUGUACGGAUAGGGAGGAGGGUUGUUUACCUUGCAAGCAAGGGAAUGUUGUAUUGUUUGGUGGAUGACCAAGGCUUGCAACGACCUCACAUUUCAAGUGCAUGUCUCCAAGUGAGAGCCAGCACGUACUGAGAGCAAUUCGUGAGAGGGUUUAUGACAUGCAUGUGGGUGUGAGAUCCCUGGAUACUGAGGAUGCCUUGGCAGUUUUUUUUUUUUUUACUUCAAAAUAAUAUUUUUUAGUAUUUUUUAAUUAUUUUAAUGUGCUGAUGUUAAAAAUAAUUUUUAAAAAAUAAAAAAUAUAUUAUU